GACGAACGCUGGCGGCGUGCUUAACACAUGCAAGUCGAACGGACGAGUGAGAUAAGUUUACUUAACUCACAAGUUAGUGGCGGACGGGUGAGUAACACGUGGAUAAUCUACCUGCAACACCGGGAUAACGCUGUGAAAACGGUGCUAAUACCGGAUACGUUCCCUUGUGCGCAUGUAUGAGGGAAGAAAGCUCAGGCGGUUGCAGAUGAGUCCGCGGCUGAUUAGCUAGUUGGUGAGGUAAAGGCUCACCAAGGCGAUGAUCAGUAGCCGGCCUGAGAGGGUGAACGGCCACACUGGGACUGAGACACGGCCCAGACUCCUACGGGAGGCAGCAGUGGGGAAUCUUCCGCAAUGGGCGCAGGCCUGACGGAGCAACGCCGCGUGGGUGAAGAAGGCCUUCGGGUUGUAAAGCCCUGUCUUAUGGGAAGAAGUCAGUGACGGUACCAUAGGAGGAAGCCACGGCUAACUACGUG
rnacentral:rRNA from 1 species